rnacentral:rRNA from 1 species
GCGAGCCAAGUCGUGAGGCGGAGCUAAUCCCUUAAAGCCAUUCUCAGUUCGGAUUGUAGGCUGAAACUCGCCUACAUGAAGCUGGAGUUACUAGUAAUCGCAGAUCAGAAUGCUGCGGUGAAUGCGUUCCCGGGUCUUGUACACACCGCCCGUCACACCACGGAAGUUGGGGGCGUCCGAAGCCACUUAGCUAACCCUUUUGGGAAGCGAGUGUCGAAGGUGAAAUCAAUAACUGGGGUGAAGUCGUAACAAGGUAGC